UAGGGAAUCUUCCACAAUGGACGCAAGUCUGAUGGAGCAACGCCGCGUGAGUGAAGAAGGGUUUCGGCUCGUAAAGCUCUGUUGGUAGUGAAGAAAGAUAGAGGUAGUAACUGGCCUUUAUUUGACGGUAAUUACUUAGAAAGUCACGGCUAACUACGUGCCAGCAGCCGCGGUAAUACGUAGGUGGCAAGCGUUGUCCGGAUUUAUUGGGCGUAAAGCGAGUGCAGGCGGUUCAAUAAGUCUGAUGUGAAAGCCUUCGGCUCAACCGGAGAAUUGCAUCAGAAACUGUUGAACUUGAGUGCAGAAGAGGAGAGUGGAACUCCAUGUGUAGCGGUGGAAUGCGUAGAUAUAUGGAAGAACACCAGUGGCGAAGGCGGCUCUCUGGUCUGCAACUGACGCUGAGGCUCGAAAGCAUGGGUAGCGAACAGGAUUAGAUACCCUGGUAGUCCGUGCCGUAAACGAUGAGUGCUAAGUGUUGGGAGGUUUCCGCCUCUCAGUGCUGCAGCUAACGCNNUUAAGCACUCCGCCUGGGGGANUACGACCGCAANGUUGA
rnacentral:rRNA from 1 species